AUUUUUGAAAAGUGGGUCCUAGUUUUCUCAUAGAAUACCUGCAAUUUAGAUUUGUUUGAUUAUUUCUUCAUGAUUUAGGUUUAAUACAUUAGGGAAGCUUUUUAUGUAGGUUAAGUUGUAAAUUUUCCAUUGCAUCACACCAAGAGCCACAUGAUGUCUGAUUUUUCCAUUCUUAGAGAUGCUAAGUUUUGCUCACUUGGUUAAGAUAACAGUAUUUCAGAUCUGUAUUGCAAAAC
rnacentral:lncRNA from 1 species